GACGAACGCUGGCGGCGUGCUUAACACAUGCAAGUCGAACGGAAAGGCCCUGCUUUUGUGGGGUGCUCGAGUGGCGAACGGGUGAGUAACACGUGAGUAACCUGCCCUUGACUUUGGGAUAACUUCAGGAAACUGGGGCUAAUACCGGAUAGGAGCUCCUGCUGCAUGGUGGGGGUUGGAAAGUUUCGGCGGUUGGGGAUGGACUCGCGGCUUAUCAGCUUGUUGGUGGGGUAGUGGCUUACCAAGGCUUUGACGGGUAGCCGGCCUGAGAGGGUGACCGGCCACAUUGGGACGGAGAUACGGCCCAGACCCCUACGGGGGGCAGCAGGGGGGAAUAUGGAAAAGGGGGGGGAGGCCUGAUGCAGCAGCGCCGGGGGGGGGAGGGCGGCCUUGGGUUGGAAAACCGUUUUCGCCUGGGACGAAGGGGGAGGGAGGGAAAGGGGUAAAGAAGCCCCGGCAAACUACGGG
rnacentral:rRNA from 1 species